rnacentral:lncRNA from 1 species
CGGGGGAAAGGCUGGAGGCGUGCGGCGUCAGCUAACUGGACCUGUAGCUUACGGAGCUUGCAACAGGCGAGACGGUGACGGAUAGUGCUGUGAGCGUUACGACGUAGUCUAUACAUAUCUACACAUAUCUAUAGAUACAUAUCUAAACAUAUCUAAACAUAUCUAAACAUAUCAAGCAGCGAUGCAGGUGGCCCGCGUGCGAAGCAUUCGCCCUCCGAGCCCACCCCACCCCGCAAGUGCCCUCUGCCCCAUCUGGUGCUGGUCCCCACCUGCACACGGAGUAUCAACUCGAGGCACCCCGGAAGGCACUGCAUCUGGGCAGUGUAGCCCCGCCAGCGGGCGCGAGCCCGUGGCCGUGCUGCACCGCCGGCUGCCCCAAGCAGCAGCGCAUUGCCGCUGCUGCCGCCGCCACCCUCCUCGCCUACGACCGUAGUGUUGUUGAGCGCAUCCUCAAUAGUCCGGUGCGCCGCCGCCAGGAGGGUGGCUUCCAGCGCCGCAUACGGCGCACCGGGGCGGGUCGCCAACUGGGGCAUCAAGCAGGGGGGGAGAUUAGGCGUUAGGCAUAUGCUGAGAGGUGGCCGUGUGACAGUGUGACAGUGCACUUUGCUGCUGCAAGGCAGGCAGGCAGCGUCAUCACCGGCGCCCAUGUCGUCCAGGAUCCAAGCAAGCCGUGCCGUACAGGCACCCGGAAGCCCCAGGUAGGCAGCGUUCUGCUGCUCUCCUGGCUCGCCACGGAGACCGGGACGCCGUGGGGCAUCCUAACAUUCUAAGUCAGGGUGAUGCUC